UGCAGUCGAGCGGAACGAGUUAACUGAACCUUCGGGGAACGUUAACGGCGUCGAGCGGCGGACGGGUGAGUAAUGCCUGGGAAAUUGCCCUGAUGUGGGGGAUAACCAUUGGAAACGAUGGCUAAUACCGCAUAAUAGCUUCGGCUCAAAGAGGGGGACCUUCGGGCCUCUCGCGUCAGGAUAUGCCCAGGUGGGAUUAGCUAGUUGGUGAGGUAAUGGCUCACCAAGGCGACGAUCCCUAGCUGGUCUGAGAGGAUGAUCAGCCACACUGGAACUGAGACACGGUCCAGACUCCUACGGGAGGCAGCAGUGGGGAAUAUUGCACAAUGGGCGCAAGCCUGAUGCAGCCAUGCCGCGUGUAUGAAGAAGGCCUUCGGGUUGUAAAGUACUUUCAGCAGUGAGGAAGGUGGGUAUGUUAAUAGCAUACUCAUUUGACGUUAGCUGCAGAAGAAGCACCGGCUAACUCCGUGCCAGCAGCCGCGGUAAUACGGAGGGUGCGAGCGUUAAUCGGAAUUACUGGGCGUAAAGCGCAUGCAGGUGGUUUGUUAAGUCAGAUGUGAAAGCCCGGGGCUCAACCUCGGAAUUGCAUUUGAAACUGGCAAACUAGAGUACUGUAGAGGGGGGUAGAAUUUCAGGUGUAGCGGUGAAAUGCGUAGAGAUCUGAAGGAAUACCGGUGGCGAAGGCGGCCCCCUGGACAGAUACUGACACUCAGAUGCGAAAGCGUGGGGAGCAAACAGGAUUAGAUACCCUGGUAGUCCACGCCGUAAACGAUGUCUACUUGGAGGUUGUGGCCUUGAGCCGUGGCUUUCGGAGCUAACGCGUUAAGUAGACCGCCUGGGGAGUACGGUCGCAAGAUUAAAACUCAAAUGAAUUGACGGGGGCCCGCACAAGCGGUGGGA
rnacentral:rRNA from 1 species